ensembl:lincRNA
GGACGGGCAGAGCACCCGGCUGGCAGGGCCCCAGCGGGGUGUGCCACAAUCCUGCCACGAGCGCGGGAGCAGGAGCGCACACCCAGUUACCCCGACAUCUUCCAAGGAGGGGACAGAGGAGGGCCCCCCUGUAAGAGCUGCUUCUCCUUCUCCCCACCCCAGCGUGUGAGUCAGAGGAAAACCGGAAAGGGAAUAUAAACCGCCCACACUCCGCGGGGUUUCAUGGCCCACUCUGGCUCCGCCUGCACUCCAGCGAGUAGGGAACCGGCCAGAUCGCCUGGAAUCCAGCUGGGAAUUGGAAAGAAUCCUGAUUCAUCGGAGGGCCUGGGCUGCCAAGAAAAUUCUCUUGAAGGCUUUCUUUUCUUCAGCGGCUGCUUCCCAGGGGUGAGGACUUAUGCCUGCUUCUCGGCCAGUCGUCUGUGACGCAGAGACUGAGGGGCCCAGGAAGGAGGGGAUGGGUUUCCUGCAGUGUCAUUUGACAAUGUCGUGGAUGGACGGAGCAUGACCCCAUCAAGGAAGGGUGAAGCCAGGCGGUACAGGCUUGCCGAGAGGACAGAGUCAACCAAAAGGCGGGAAGGCUUUCUCAUAAAUUAAGGAAGGGGAUGCAGCAUCGCGUGUUGCAGGAGACGUCCCGCUUGCCUGAUGCCCGGCAGGGCCUGACCUUGGACCUAACCCGACGAGAUGAUGAGGCAAGAGCCAAGGGCCGGUCGUUCCGGCUGGCUUCCUCCAACCCAAUGCACACCAUGGUCGAGGUGGUGCGGAGUAAGGACUGCAGGCUGUCCCAGGCCACCUUCCCUGGCAUCCUGCCAGCCGUCACCCCGGUGGUCGACAAAGCCACUGGCCUCUGUCUGGCGUGCGUCUCCGCGUCAGCACAGCCGUCCCGGACCCGGGCCAGGCCUCUCGGUCUCCUGAACCUGAUCGCACAAUGGUUCUCCUGCUAUUGCCCGCAUUAAACAAAAAAAAAAAAAGUGUAUCUAUAGCAUAACAACCUUGAGUACGUUCUUGAGAAAGUCAAUGCCCUCCUGAGCCCUCUGCCCAACUCAAGGGUCUCCUCCUGGGCCCCUCCCCUCCCUGCCUCUCUGCGGCACCCAACCUCUCCUGCUCGCCCGCUUGCCUGUUCUCAGCUGGCUUCUAUCUAAUCAAGUGAGAGGCCGUGGAGUUAGCUUCUCCCUGGCUCCCUGGCACACCCUCGAGCACCCCGAUCUUCCCGCCGGCUGCCUGUCUCCCUCUACGCCCCCGCCAGCCUGGGUUCUGGGGACACUCCUCCUUUGGCCAGGACCCCAGCUGCUUCCAUCCGUCCUGCGACCCCUCUUGUGGCACGCUUCGGCCACUUGCCGGCCUCUGGGCCACGACCCGAGCACUCCCGGCCCCUUCCCCCAACUUCAGGAAACCGGCCAUCCCUUGACAGGUGCCACGAACUGGCUUUUUUAAAGAAAAUUAUUACUUUAAAAGCAAUAUCAGAAAGGGGUGUCUGGGCUGUGGGAUGGUGGACCACGGGCUCUUUUCCUCUUUCUACUUGUUAUUAAAGAAAGUGAAUCCUGUUUCUGACAUU